rnacentral:snoRNA from 1 species
UAUAUGAUGAAACAUUUCCACAUUCGCAGUUUCCACGCUAGCCAUCGAUUGAACCUGAUGGACAAUGAGCGCGAAUACCUUCCUUGGAUGUCUGAUUUA